GGAUGUGAGGGCGAUCUGGCUGUGACAUCUGUCAUCCCAUUGAUCGCCAGCGUUGGUUGAGCUGAUCUGGCUGGUUAGGCGGGUGUCCCCUUUCUCCCUUGCUGCUCCAUGUGGUUGGUGGAAGAGGACGACCUUCCCCGAAUAGAGAAGGACUGGUCUUCGGUCAGGGGUACACGAGUAGCUGCGCCCCCCUGCUAGAGCCCCCAAACAAGCUCUCAAGGUCCAUUUGCAGGAGAACGUAGGCUAGUCAAGCUUCCAGGACUCCAGACGCAUCCAAAUGAGGCACUGCAUGUAGCAGUCUGCCUUUGUUU
rnacentral:snRNA from 1 species